rfam:Streptomycetaceae bacterium MP113-05 genomic scaffold scaffold00009, whole genome shotgun sequence.
GUGAGCCGUGUGCGGGAGAACCGCAUGCACGGUUCGAAGCGGCGGGGGCUGGAAACGGAGCGGACGUACUCCGCCACCGCGCCAGCCCCCGACCCUAC